UUAAAGUUACAGUUUGUGUUGUGAUAAUUUGACCAGGAGCCAGAGGGUGCUUUAGUUCUAAUGGGCUCUGUGAUGGGUUCGGGUACGGUGAUUAGCCAGGGGGCUUUAAGAUGAACCCCGGGCAGCGCAGGGUUUCAGCUCCCCGCUGGUGUAAACUGUGGGUGGCAUGGAGAUAAAACACGAGGCAGACUCAGCGUUGUUUGUGCUGCCUGUUGUUGGUCUGCAUUCAUGCAGGGGCGUGUGUGCAGCCCUUAUGGCGCUUGAGCGUAGCACCGGGAUGCUAAAAACCUCCUACACAAAGAACGAGGUGUAAUAACACAGCUUUUGUUUAGCCAACACACGGAGCUGAGAAAUCAGUUUCAGGUAGGUGUAAAAAGGCUGAAAACGACAGUUUAAACUCAUGGGAAUAAGUGAAAGUUUGUACAAAAAAAAUCUAAAAAACUUUUAAAAGGCUACAGUUGUAGAAAAGUAUUCUGACAUUCAAACAAAAACAAACUCUUAAAAACAAAAGAUUUAUGACCUUAUGGAUGGUUUUCUGUCUAUAAAGAGUUUUUUAAGUUCAUGGAAGUUGGUUUGAUAAUGUAACCACUAACAUAAACGUUGACAAAACCACAAAUAAACACAAUGAUAUUUUUGCACUAGUAAUGGAAGAAUAGGCAAUUGCUGUUUUAUGCAGUCUCUAUAAGGUAAGACUAAAAUUCUUCAGUCAAUCCUAAUAUUUAUUAUAAAGCUAAAUCUCAAAUAGAAAGCGCGUUGAGGGCCUCUUAAGAAACUGUCUGAUGUUUGAAAUAUUGUUUCUAUUCAUCUGUUUCUGACUAAUAAACAAUAUCUGGGACCGAUAAUGGGAACCCAUAUGGUUGAUACUAAUGCUGCAUUCGAGUUACCUUGGAGGUCAGAUGUCAGAGCUGAAAAUGACUUCACACCUGAGUUACCAGCGUUUCAAUUACCAAGUCAGAAAAAAGCAGAAACAAGAUGGCUGCAUCUACGAAAGUUAUGUUAGUGCUUGCCUUGUCAUUGUUAUAUUCGGACUGGGAGAGCAGUAAAAUAACUUUUGUAGAGUGAGCCAUCUUGUUUCUGCCUCCGAUUUUGCUUUUUUCCGACUUGGUAACUGAAACGCUGGUAACUCGGAUGUGACAUCAUUUUCAGCUCCGACAUCUGACUUUCAAGGUAACUCGAAUGAAAAAACGAAAAACUAUCCGUCAAACUUUAGAAUUUGUAAAAUUCAUUUUAUUAGCCAUUUCCCAAAAUCGUCCAAUACAGAUUAAGGCAAAAUAUCGGCCCUAUUAACUGGUCCCUCUGUCAUACCAUCCCAUCAAGUCUUAAUGAUUUCCUGAACACCUCUCACUGAGUGGCGCUAGUUCAAAAAUAAAACACAAGUAUUUUUAAACUAAUAGGAUAAACAUAGAUAAGGCUGAAUUGCUGCAGUUUAAUUGCUUCUUGUCUGUUUUCUUCAAUUUGUCAGAUGUCCCUUUUAUCUAGCUUCUUUUGCAGGUUAUUAUCUCUCUCUAGUUUCUGUACCUUUUUCCUCCUGAAUGGUCAGCCAUCAACAGAGAACUUUAAGUUUUAUGCUCUUAAAAUAAACUGAGAGAAAUAUUAAAAGCUGCCUGUGACUAAUAGAUUUUUGCCGUAGUGUCAACAGGCAGUGAAACUCUACCGUUUCCCUUCAUUUCCAAUAUAAAAUGUAUGAUCUGGUUGUCUCUUGUUAUUCAGCAUUAAUAACCACUGUCCAGGGCUGUUAACCAAUCAGAAUCAAGUAUUCAACAGUUGGGUGAUCUGUAAGAAAGCUGGGUGAUGGAGGUGAAUAAGACAGAAUUUUCAGAACAUGUAAAAGAAAUACAAUAUUGCAAAAAAUAAACCAAACUUUUAAAUGGCUUAUUAAAAAAAAAGUAUAGCACAACCAUAAAAAGACACAAGAUCUAAAAAAACUUCUCUGUCAAAGUCUAAAAGCCUUUGUUGCAAAAAAAUGAUUUCAAGACUUAAUAAAGCCAGAGUAAAUCUUGAAAUAUAAUAAGUGCCAUCCAUGAAUAUAAGAAUUAGUUUGGUAUUCCUGUUGAAAAACAAUUAAAUGCAAUAGAAACCACAAUCCAUUCAUCCACCUGGGCAGACAGGUCCAAGUAUUCUCUCCUUGGAGGUCUGUGGUUAAAUAUGGGGGGUCCAGCUCCACCUGUCCUCCUUACUCUGGGCACACAGGGUCACCCACUAGAGAGGUGGUCCCUCCUGACUCUGUCCACACCACACCACGAGCCCACCCUAUCAACGCUAAACAGUGUGAAACAACACAUUAACCAGCGGCCCUGUCCAAAUGUCAGCAGGGACAAGUGCUUGCUUUUAAAAACGACCACCACACAUCCAGUCACCUCGCUGUGUGGUCUCCUCAUGAAGAUAUGCCGUCGGAUUUUUGUUGGGUUGUUGUCGUGACUUGUGUUAAAGUGUCUGCUGAGCAAUGUCUGAAUCACCGCUGAGUGGAAAACAGAGAAAAAUCAAUCCAGGUGGAAGAGUGGAGAGAAUUUUGACUUGGUGAUAGAAACUGAUGGAACUUUUGAUGUUUCAGGACGUUCUGAUAUUGACAUCUGCAUUAUGUGCAGGUCUAUUUUUCUGCCAGUGACAUUUGUAUCACUACUUCGCAAACACUGCAGGGAUUAUACAAUCAAUAUUUGCUGCCAUAGGUGCUGCUAUCUGUUAUCUAUCACAUUCAGGGUCAGGAGGACUGCUGCACUGUUAUACAUAUAUAUACCUCGAGUCUGGAGCUGUACAUAAGGCAACUUUUGAGAAACACCAAAUAAGUGGGAUUAUUUUGUAUAAUUUUCAACUUGGUAUCAUUUGCCUUUCUAGUUUCUUGAUAUUUUUGAUGACUAUAAACCAUAACAAAAUAGCUCAUUCAGGUCAAAUGUAGAAGACACACAGUGGAUUUGUAAAGGAUUAAGACUAAAUAAUCCAGAGAAAUGACCUGAUGCCAGAGAAAUUCCUGCAGUGCAGGAGUUUGACAUCUCUAUUUGAAGUCAGUUUGAAGCAAUUAGGGUCUGUGUCCACCGUCAUUUGCAAUGACCCUUUAGCACGUCUUUGUGAACUUCUGGCUUUCUCUUAUGUAGUGGCUUCAACAUAGUUAACAUCCAAAGACCCCUCUGCUUCUUGACUUUGAUUGGUAGGUGAGGGAGAUGUAACAUAAAUCAGACUGGUGCUUUUCCAAAUGAGAGCGCAGCAACAAAAAAUAGCUGAUACUGAAGGCAUACUUGUGCUUGGGAUUCUGAAAAUGCUUACAACACGAACACUGAGAGUCUUGUAAAAAACUCUUAAACUGACAACAGUAACAAUGCUGAAGACAUUCAAACAACAUGCUAACAAAGCUGAAGAUAUUAAAAACAAUGAAAACUUGAGUUCUAAAAACGUUCCACUAACAAUGCUGAAGGUGCUGGAAAUGCAGAAAAUGAUGACAAUGUAAAUGCCUAAAAUAAUCGAAAUGUUGAAAAUGAUGGCAUAGUUAAAAAUUACUGAUUACACCAAUAACACUAACAAUAUUCUUACUGAUAAACCUGAAACUCUGUGAACCUUGGGGAAAAAUGACAAUAAUGAAAAUGCUGAAACCCUGAAAACACUAAAAAUUCAAUCAAAGCUGCCAGAGCCAACAUUGAAACACUAGAGAUGCUAAAUUUACUGAAAAUACUGAAGACACACUGACUUUACAUGAUAGGAUUUAGACAAAAAAUACCAUCAGCCUAAAAGUCAGAUGUUGCUUCAGCAGAUAAAUCAGCUCUAACUUCACUAUGACAAACAACAACAUACAAGCAUAAUACAUGACUGCAUAAACCCCCUAAAAACUUAUGAAGGCCAAAAAUGAAAAAUAAGUUGGGUUACUUUGCUAAUUUAAGUCAUUUUGACUCUGUAAACCACAGAGGAAGACGUGGAAUUAAAGUAUUUUGCAUGUAUUUCUUCACCACCAAAGGGCGGUUUGUAAGAGAAGGCUAGGAUGGUGUUAAUUAAAGUGUGGGGGUAUAAUUAAACCACACUUUCUCUGCAUAAUUUACUUUAUCUAGUGACAGAAAUAGAGUCUAAGGGAGUUGGUGCCAGGGCUGAAUUAAUAGAAGCAAAUCACCUCCCAACAGAUAGUCCUCUUUUAUAGAGAAUGUUUUUAUUGACGGCGACUUCCAAUCUGGAUACUCAGACACAGCUAUCAGGACAUUUUUGGCAUUACAAGUUCAAUACCACGAGAGAUUCAUAUCGCGACACUUUGGUGGUAUCGUGCAACCCAAACCCUCUCUACUGUUCCACACAUAAAUCUCACAGAGCGUGACUAACCCGGAGGUAACAGGAGCCGGGGCCAACAGUCCCCGCGGACCCUUGCCUGCAUGUCAGUGUUUCAGACUGCUCUGCUGUAAGGACCAGCCCCACAACCUCCCUGGGCCCCCCCGAGACCCUGUGAAACCAAACAGUGAGGUCAGCUCUGGGCUCCCAUCUCAGAGUGAGGAUUACACACAUCCACACACACAUACUGAGACCACUGAGACUGCACUAGGAUUAAGUCAUUAAGGGUAACCAUCCCCUAAAACCUCAGCUAGGGACUUUCUUUGGAAAAAGACACUCUCUUCUCACAGUCAUUAAUUUUCUAUCUGUGAGCAGACAUAGCGGGCCGAUAGUGACCUUUCAUUUGGAUGCACAGUUAAUUUCCGCUGCAGAUGGCCACUUAUUACACCCUACUUUGUCCUCACGCUAGAGUCAUCAAAUCACUCAGCUUGGUCCCGCUUGAUAGCCAUGUUAAUGCUGCCAAUGUUCCUCCAUGGUCUGGGUGUGGGAGCCAUCUAGGGUCAAGUAGUAAGGAAAGAAGUAUCAGAAGUAUCAAAAGUUUUCUAGACAAUAAAGCACAGUACUGUGUUAAGAAAACUACUUGUCAGUAAUUUUGGCGCUGCAGGCAGGUGCAAAGUUCUGCUGAAAUGGCAAUCUGGAUUUUCAUGAAGCUUAUUGGCUGGUAUUAAAGUGAGGUGCUCUUAAAUCUUCUGGCAUGGCGGUUGGCUUGACUAUUGACUUGACUGUACAAACACCAGUGGAUGAGAUGGUACCCAACAUUCUGUACCUUUACACUCUUCCUCUUUGACCUUGGUUUUUAAAAAUGAAAUGAAAAGUUUACCUCAGUGUGAAAAGAGGACUUUGGACAGUGCAAUGAUCCAGUGGCCUCAUUGCAGGUUGGCAAACUCUGACCCAAACCUGAGCACAGUUAAGAGGCCGGGAAAACUGGCAGCAGAGUCAGUGAGAGGGUGAACUGAUGUCAGAUGAUUUAUUUUCAAGGUCUUUUUCACAUGAAAUCCCAUUAAACAUCAAUAGACCCAUGUGAUCACGACGGUGUUGAUAUUUUCAACCAAAUUAUGAUAAUCAAUGUGCGUCACAAACCCUUUUUUCCAUGUCUAAGCUGGAAUGAUGGUGAGCUAAACUGCAUCUCUAAUAUCAAAAACAAACACAAGUAUAGGUUUUGUGUUCCUUAACAAGGCAAUCAAAAACAAAGCUGAACAUCAGGCAUUAAAAAUCCAUCAUAGUUUCUGUUGCCUCUUGUUCAGGAGUGGAAAUUGAUAUUCACAAAUUCUUAUUAUUAGGGUCUUAUAUACCCUUUCCCUAUUUGUGGCUCUUGAUGCAUUGACACCAACCUCAGACCCCUCCUUUGAAGCCCUCUCAAGGUUUGGACUGACUCUUUUUGACAAUUCCUUUAAGUCUACAGUCAUCUAUGUCAAUGAUGCAUCUUUUUCCUACCACGCUCUCUCCAUUCUGUCAACUCUCUGUCGAUAUGCUUUGAUUCGGCACUUGCAAACGACCAGGCUUCUCAGCCAUGACCUUCUGUUGCUUGAGGGUCAUGAAGAGUGUCCUCUGGACAACUGUCAACCCAGCAGUCUGUGUUUGAAGUUGUAUGUACCAAGAGAUACAAGGUAUUUAGAGGUGGCACUGCUAUUAGGGUUGCAUUUAUGGGGGUGGUGGUUCCCCACUUACUCCCCACAAAUACUGAUAUUUUUGAAGCAACAGGCCACAGACUGAGCUGUUGUGUCUAGUUGCGAGUGAGACUUCAUUGUACUUCCUUGUCUUACAUGAAUAAUCCCACAAUAGGGCAAGGAAAUUAAAUGCACAGUCUGGUGUCUCCCCGUUAAUAAUAUCACACCCGUCUGACCAUUUCCCUGCAUGCACCUGCACAACUAUUACACCCACACUAUGAAACUCCAUCUGCAAUAACUUCCACAAAAGUAACAUUAGACUUUUUAUUGUAUCAAACAGGUGGAGAUGACCUUCAGAGUGACGCAACAGUCAUGCAAGACACCGGGCAUUGUGUCAGACUCGUGUGUUUGUGUGUGUGCGUGUGUGUGCGCCUGCGGACACGUGUUUUGGACAGUUGAUCCUCAGUCACACUUUCUUUGUUCCAACAGCCUCACACCUUCAGAAUAAAAUGCUCUCAAUGCAUGCAGCAUUCCACACACAGGAACGAUGCCCUCGUGCAAAAAUACAAACACACCUCCUAAACUAGCAUGAAUGCUCACACAUGCUAUCGACAAUGCUAAAUUACCCUCCCCUGUGUUUAGACAGUAACGGUACUCUGCAGGGUCUUGGGUGUGGAGAGCAACCUGUUGAGAAUAAUUCAUGUGAGUGUCAAAAGUGGGAAUUUCGGGGUUCCCUUACAUUUUGUGGGCCACACACAUGUAUGAGUGGUCGCGGCGUUAAGCACAUUUGUCAACAUUAUAGGGAUCAAUUGUAAAUCAAAUUACAUUUAUUACUUUCAGCCAAGUCAGACAAUCAUAAAUAUUAUAGAGAGGAGUCAACUGGAUCGCCAUCACUCUGAAUUGGCGUGCAAAUAAUGUGGAAAGUGGGAAUCUAUUCUCACUAAAUUUAAAAGAGAAGAAAUUAGAGGAGUUUCAUGUCUUGAAUUUAUGGAUUAAAAGAUGGGAGUGGCUGAACAACAGAGAGAUUUCCUCAUAUUUUGAGCAAUUUUGAAAGCUUUUAGGUCUCCAAUCGAAUCAUCAAUAUUCAUAUUUUCUGAACAAGUCUCCCUAGUGUUAAAUUCUUUUUGAAGAGCAGCUGAUAAGACUGUCUUUGAUUUAGUAGAGAAAGAUCUCCAGAGAGUCUGGGAGGAGAAGAUGAAAAAUAUUUUGUGAAGAGAAACUAAAAUGGACCAUAAAUUUCUUAAUGUGGUUGAAACUGCUGCAAGCAUAUAAUGUGUUUUAUUUUAGGCAUGGAUUUAAGUUAAAAUCUGAAAAUAUUUCAGUGUUGUUUCAACAAUAGUUGAUUGGUUAAAAUGAUCUGUUUUGAGGAUUGACUAAAUCAGUUUUGGAUCAAAAUCAGGAAUAACUAAGGGUUUAGCUGGUAAUGCAAAACAGAAUCCAUAAUUCCUCAUUUAUGCUUACAACUUUAUAGAAACCAUUUUAACUAGUGCAUAAUUUUUUGUGGAUAGUUUUUAAAGCAAGUUUUAAUAAGGUGGUAUUUGAAUGUUUCUUGUUUGUUAUCUAUUAACUCCAAAUUACAUGAAAAUCAGAAAGACGAUGGAGCAACAAAAGCUGGGACCAGUUUUUAUUUGGCAUUGUUGCUUCGUGUAUGUUUACAGCCAUUGGUCAGGUAUCAAAACUGUAUAAGAUGAGCAAACACCAAUAAGCCAAGAAUUAUCUAGGAUACCAAAAGCGAUUUCUACAUUUCUUUCAAGUUUGGGGAAACAUCCAAAAUACAUUUAAAACUCUGUUUAUUCUGGAUUAUGGGCUUUUGCAAGAAGUUUCACAUUAACUAAAUUUGUGAAUCAACGGGAUAAACUAUGGGUUUUAAAUAACAAAGACUUACCCUCAUGGCUGAGCCAGACAUGACUGUGUUCUUUACUCACUGCAGCUUUAUGGCUAUCAGGUUAUUGUCUGCAUCUAGCCAAAGCUUUGGUGUCCUUUACUAUCUGUUGUUUUAAUGAUAGACCCCAUAUAACCAAUUAUACAGCGCAGCAGUUUCCCUCUCCUCUCUCGUCAACACUGGCAUUCAUCAAUAUCCUAUUAGUUUCUCUUGGAGCCAGGCGCUUUAUCUCCCCUUCCCUUCCCUCUUAAAGAGAGUCUAUCCUUGUUGUUAUUCAAGAGCCCAAUUUUCAUUGUAACACAACACGCUUUGUUCUAGGCUCAGACACUUCAGGAAAAACUAAUAUUAGGGGGAUCAUUGUCACUGAGGUUGCCGUGGCUACAGUCACACUCACUGAUGAUUGGAUUCAUUCUGGUGUUAUCACUGGUUUCAUCCCCUGACUCCCAGAGGCGGAGUGAUAUUAAUGAUAGCGAUGCUCCACCAUAUCGUUUACAGGCGGCAACAUCAAAGCAACUCUGACUUGUUCCUCUUGUGAUUUGGAUUCAAUCUUUCGCACUCUUUUUGCGAUGAUAGCCACUCUGAAUAGAUUACUUAUAAUUCUUACUCUGCGGUACAACGUAGAUGCCAGAAAAUACACGUAUAAGAGCUGCAGGGAAAUACAGAAGGCCAGACAGAGGGCAACAAGGUCAUCGUCUCACCUCACCGGCCAGACUAGAGGUCUGCUAUCGUCUGCUGCCAGGUCAAGGCCAGUGCCCUCUUUAAGUCCCGGUCAGUGGCUCAGUCUGGAAGGCAGACAAGGAUACACUACUAAAACACACACACACACUGAAUUUAAAAGAAAGUCUAAUCCAUCACCCUCCUGAAUGAGGACAGAAUCAAUCAGGAGGGACCUUCAGAUCCCUUCUAACCAAAUCACCAUCGGCUGUUGGUUGAUAAGCCUUUUCUCAGUGUUUGUUACAAUGGAGACCUGUUGAAAAAACAGUGAAAAACCAGGUCAGAACAGCUGCUGCAAUCCUCUCGCCCUUUAAGCUAGUUGUUGUCACAAGUUAUUAUUCUUUGCACCCAUUUGCAGGAACAACGCUUUAAGCCAGUCCAUCAAUACCAGUCCAUUUGCAAGGCGGUAUUGACAUUGUCCAACCUGGGUGCAACACUCUUAUCGUGCCUCAUAGUGUAAUUCUCUGAGGUCAUAGAGAGUUAGCCAACAAACGGGUAAGCUAGCAAGCUCUCUCCCCUCGCUAAUUGAUGUACUUCAGCCGGCUCGGCCUUUGAACUGAAUCCCUGUGUCGUCCACCAGAGAGAACGCAGAUGCCAUCAGUGUUGCCUUCCCCUCCCGCCUUUGAAACCAGAGCCCACCCUGUCUAACCCACAGCUCAGGGCACGAGUGAGAGGAGCCGUCUGUUAGCUUAGCUCCAGAGACAGUUUACUCCCCGCUUUGUUUGACCAUCGAUGACUCUGCGUUUGAGGGAGCCGGGCCAAAAAGAUUAGCUGUGUUUUCAGAGGGAGAUAGUAUCAUACUGGCAGUAGUGAAUGUGUCGCUGCUCCUGACUCAGUCUCUGAGCAGAGUUGGCAUAAGGAGGGGAACCAUUGUUUGUGCAAGACUUAAGCCUUGACUGGCACUCUUCCACUUUUAUUAGAGAGGAAUUUUAUGCCUAAUGUUUGGGCAUGUAGGUCAAGGAUUUUGU